ensembl:lncRNA
CAAGUUCUCCAGUGAAACCACUUUAUCUGCCACGUCUUUCAAUGUUUGCUCAGAGGCUUUAAGAAGCUGAAACAGGCGCUCGUUGUUUGCUCAGUUAGUUCAUGUUAAUGCAGUGACAGAAGCAGCAGCAGCAGGAAAAGAAAAGCUCUUCCCCAGGGAUCCAACCCUCAGCUGCACUCUGGAUCAUGGUAGCAGUCGGAGAGCAGGUCGUCACAUCGUGGUUCUUGUCGUCAGGGGUCGCCGGUUUCUUCGUUAUCCUGCUCCUCUCCAUCUUCCUCACAGCUUUGUGCUCCUGCAGCGACUGCAGGGGUUCCUUUCAGUUGAAAGAGUCAGAAGCUGACAAGAAGGAUUCCGCUCUCAUCAGUGUGGUGAAACUAGAGGAGACCAGAGAGAAUCCAAUGAUGAGCCAGAUCCAGAACACUGAGAAAGAUCCCAGUAAGAAGAUGGAAAGCCCCAUCCACAUCAUUCCCUGGAGGAGUCAUCUGAAGGAUCCUCCAUGCUCAGAUAUCUUCUCCUUCUCAGGCCCUGCCCCCAAUGAGUACGCCUAUGCAGGUAGGCGGGGCUUCAUCAGCAGCGGUCUUGAUGCAUCAUCGCCUCCAACCGCUGAUGGCGAGCGUGACAUCAACGACCACAACAGAAAUUCUAUUUUCGCAGCUUAUGCUCGAGCUAGUCAGAGGAAUGCCCCGCCUCCCUCACCUGUCCAAUCACCUGCAGAGGUGAAAGAGGGGGCGGAGCCAGGUCCCUCUCUGUGUGAGGUUAAAUCUGACACAGGCAGAUGACUGACAAAUUGAAGACUAAACCUUUGAAACUACAGAAGGAGCAUGAGACAAGUUGGAGGAGAAAAACUACAGAAGAAGAAGGAGAGGGACUGCAGCUUUAAUUUGUGUCUUUACAAGAAUCCAAUUUUAAAAAGUAGCUUGUUUUCCAUAAAAACAUGCAGAUGAUCAUUAAUUCAUCACAGGGUGCACACACAGAUCUGCGUCUCAAUGGGAUUAAACCCAGAUUAAUUUAUCCCAACAGAAGGAAUUUGAAAAAACAACAAACAUUUUUUUUUCUUCGUCUAAACAUUGUAAGUUUUAAUUGUAUUUUUAUGAAAUAAUAGUGUAAAAAGACUUGAUAAGAGUUCAUUUUUAAUUGCAUGUGCAUUAACAGAGAAUAAGGUGAUGGGUGUGAAAUCAAUGGAUGGAUUCAAAGGAAAAACAAAGUCCAAUCUUAAAUUGGAACAAUAUUUCCAACAAUUAAACAUGUGGAAAACAAGUUGUGAGGAGUUCCUUGUGCUUUGACAGGAUUAAUCCACACUGUAUUACAUUUAAGACCUUUCAAAUAUCAAAGAAAAGAGAGCAAAUAAAUGAAUUGUAAACUAGUAUAUUUUUCCUCA